rnacentral:rRNA from 1 species
AACGAACGCUGGCGGCAUGCCUAACACAUGCAAGUCGAACGAGCCCUUCGGGUCUAGUGGCGCACGGGUGCGUAACGCGUGGGAACCUGCCCUUAGGUUCGGAAUAACUCCCCGAAAGGGGUGCUAAUACCGGAUAAUGUCUUCGGACCAAAGAUUUAUCGCCUUUGGAUGGGCCCGCGUUGGAUUAGCUAGUUGGUAGGGUAAAAGCCUACCAAGGCGACGAUCCAUAGCUGGUCUGAGAGGAUGAUCAGCCACACUGGGACUGAGACACGGCCCAGACUCCUACGGGAGGCAGCAGUGGGGAAUAUUAGACAAUGGGCGAAAGCCUGAUCCAGCCAUGCCGCGUGAGUGAUGAAGGCCUUAGGGUUGUAAAGCUCUUUUAGCCGGGAUGAUAAUGACAGUACCGGGAGAAUAAGCUCCGGCUAACUCCGUG